GGUGGUGGUGUGAGGAUGGUAAACAUGUGGCUUCAACAUUCUUUGGGGGUAAAUUGGGAAUAAGAUCGGUGGAUAGGUAUAUUUGAGGUUGUGGCAGUGGGAGAAGAAAACCACGCUACCUUUAUAGGUGGAGGAUGAGGUAAAACGCAAAUGACUUUUCUAUUUAUUUACUUAUUAGAUUUUUUUUAAAUUUAAAAUUUACUCUUUAUUUUUAGUUAUUUAGCGAUUAUAUUUUUUAGAUUUGAAAUUUGAGUUUAACUAUUAAUACUGUUAAAAUUUAUUUGUUAAAUUUAAAUUUAUUAUAACAUUAUUUUUUUAACCACAUAAUUAUGACAUCAUACCAACAAAUUUAACAAAAAAAUAUUAACAAUGUUCAUAAUUAAUCUUCAAUUUUAAAAUGUGAAAAGAAAAGAGGUUGAAUUCUUAAAAAUGAAAGUAUAGAAACUAAAAUCCAAUUUUUAAAAAGUCUAUAAGCUCAUGGCGUAUUUUAACUUAUUUAUUACAAUUAUUUCCAUGUAAGAAUGUUGAUUUUUUUAAUAGAAAAUUAUUUCAGACAUUGUUAAUGAAGUUUUUCAGAUUUCACAAGCGAUUUAAGAGUUUGACAAGUGUAUUGUAAGAUGCAUUAAUAAAUAAAUAAAUUUAAUUAAAUAAAAAUAGUAUUAUUUGAAUUGAAUUAGAUGGUCUAAUCGAAUUAGUUGGGCUUGGAAUUAAUCCGGAGAUCGACUUGGAAAGUGACUUUGAAUUGGCUAGAUCAGAAAUCAGUACAAGCCAAUUGAAUUGGCUAAAAUCCGAUUGAAUUUACAAUCUAAUUGGCAAAAAAACCGAUUGAUUCGGGAUUUUUGAAUUUUUUAAAUAUUUAUUAAUUUUUUAAUUGAACUGAUUAAACUAAUAAAUUAACUAGCCAAUUUUAAAAACAUUACUAAAAAUAUAUAUCAAAUAAUUACCUUUUUUUCUGAUUUUAUUGUUAGUGAGACAAUUGAUGAAUGAACAGCUUAAUAAUUUUCCCUUAUUUACGAAUCGCGACACGUGAAAAUUGUUUAUCUUUGGCGAAACAAGUGAUGAAUGAACAGAGUACGCGUGGCGACACGUGAAAAAUGAACUAAAAAUGAGGUGAGGGGUCCUUCUCAUUGAAGUCGUCAUAAUAUAGAUGCAGUGUGAAAUACAAAAAGACAAAAAAUGUUUAAAAUGUUUUGAUUUUCAAUAAUUUAGGAACUAGGCAUGGUUCAACAUUCAAUCAAACUGAAGCUAGCUUGAUUGAGAUUUUAAACAUUGAAUAGGGUAUUGAGAUUCAUCCCAAUAAAAUAAAAACAUAACUAGUGCUGAAUUUGACAUUAAAAAUCAUUUUAAAUUUGUAGUUCAUAGUAUUUUAUAUAUUUGUUUGGUUUUUUAAGUUAUUAAUUAUAUACAUAUAUUUAUUAUAAUAAAGCAUAAAUAUUUUUUUAAUAGUAUAAAGAUGGAAAAAUUAACAAAUAAACAAUUUAAAUAUUUAAAUAUUACACUAACAAUUAUAAUUACAAAUAACUAAGAAAAGUCAUAUUUAAUAAUAAAUUUUAAAAUAUUUUUUUAAUUUACUAAAUUUAUAUUUUUAUACCUUUCAAAUGUAUAUUAAAUUGAAUAAUAAUAAUACGUUGAGCAAUAUUUUCUUGUAUCAUAUUAAGGGAAACACAAGGGGUAUUUAUACAUAUUUUUACUGUUACUAUUAUAGCUCAUAAUAGGGACCAUUGUUUUGUCUUGGCCUUUGGGCCGAUGGUACUGACAUUACUUGUCACUAGUGCUAACAUUAUCUAGGCGUCCCUUAGUUUAUUAGACGCUUACCUGCGGAGCAGGCGGUCCUUUUUGAUCUUGAGAUUGACUCCUCCAGCGAACCUCGCACUUGUCAAUCACGACCGAGGAUCCCUUGUAGGGCUCACAAUCCCCUCCACGGACAUAUUUGGCGACCUUGUCCCAACGGGGCUUGUACGAGCUCUCCCCUCGCAACCUCAUUCCUGCGAGGCUUAUGUAAGCUCCCCUUGUAGGCUUCUCACGCGAGAUAUAUUUGCGAACAUCUAACAUCCCGCAAGGUCCUCAACUGACUACGCCUAUAGGCGAACAUUCUUCUUUCAGAUUGAAAAUCGAGAUCCUAUCAGUCAUUUGGGCUGGCGGUUCCCAAACCCUAACAUAAUUAAAAUAUGUAUUUUAAUUUUUAUUACUUACAUAAUAAUAAAAUCAAAAUCUAAAAUUUUAAAUUUUAAUUUAAUGUUCUAAAGGAGUACAGGAAUAUAUUUUAAAAUUUUUGUUUCUUACUUUCAACCUAACGCGAAACCCCAAGAAGUACCGAUGAGUAACAAAUUGUGUUUGGAAACGUGGCGCUCACUUACUGUGCAUCCCUACAAGUGGCAUGCUUAUGAUUUAACGUGUCUAAAGAACAGGUCAACUAUUUAAUAAAGAGCUUGUGGUUUCUCUCUCUCCAUUGAACCUGGAUGAGCUUCUAUAAUAAAAUAAAUGUCCAGACAAUCUUUUUUUUUUCUUUUUCUUUAAAUGAAGUCUAGACAACCAAUUUCAGUUCAUAAUAAUUACAGUUUAGAUAUUUUCGAUAUACAUAGAAAAUAUCUAUUUGUUUUUGUUGUAAAUAAUACAUAUAGAGUAUUUUCAAGUAAAUAUAGUAUAUUUAUUUACCACAAUUUUCAUAAUAUAUAAUUAUGUGUGUAUGAACGUCAUCCUUAAUGGAUUGAAGGUUAUAAUAAUAGAUUCUAGCUUUAUAAUCUAAAGGAAUCUUUUUCCUCUCAACCUUCCUUAGCCUUUUUCUUUCAUAGACUUUUACGUUCUUUUCCUCUUCUCUAUUUUAGAAAUUAUUCAAAUAAUUUUGAAUACUAGGAUUUUUGUCUGGUUAGGAUAAAAAAAAAUAUAAAAUAAUAGAUCACCUCAUUUUAUUUUAUUUUAUUUUUAUUUUAUAAUUGUUUUGGUGAAAAUUUUUCAUCUAUAAAAUAAAAUAAUUUCAAUUUACAGUCCUAAAACAUUAAAUUGAAUUCUUAACGUUUAGGGGCGUUUAGUUCGUUGAAUGGAACACUACGGUUCAUAAUGUUACAUUUGGAAUGAGAUUAUAGUUUUUAGAUUUUAAUAUUCCAAUCAUCUCGUGUCUAAAGUGUAAUAUCAUUAUGGCUCAUUCUGUAAGUAAUUAAUUUAGACUAUUUUCUUAAGACUAAUUAAAAAUUAUAAUUUUUUCUUAACAAUGAGCAGGUAGAUGUCAUACGUUACAAUCAUAAUCAUAAUCAUUAUAUUUUAUGUAAUAAGCUAUUUAUUAAUAAAUUAAUUAUGAUUAUAACUAUAGUUAUGGUUGGUGUUGCAGUAGCUUUUCAUGAAUUAUAAUAAUUAUGAAUUAUAAAAUUAUUUCAACAUAAUAUAUGUACUUAUUAAUACAUAGAUUAUAAUAAAAAGUAAGAAUUGUAAUAAUUCAUCAUAAUUUUAUAGAAAUUGAGAUUAAAAAUAUUAAAGAAACUAAACUUGUUUAGAAAAAACUUUCUCGAGAGACUGAAGAAGCUAUGGGUUGUGGAGGUUUUCUUAGAGACGAUGAAGGAAAUGUAAGAGCUUUAUUCUCGGGAUCAUGUGAUACCAUUGAUACAGAUUCAGCUGAAUUAGGAGUAAUAAUUACUGCGUUUGAUGUAAUAAUUGAGAUAGGGUGAAGGGGAACUAGUUUGAUUAUUGUUGAAAUUGGGUCACUGGUGGUGUAUAAUUGGUUAUUGAACAAAAACAGGAGACUUUGGUCGCAACAAACUACAUUCGCAGAUAUGGAAAGGAGGUUAGCCUGUGUGGGUGAGGUAGCAUUUUCAAAAGCAGAGCAGCAUGGCAAUGAAAUGGCAGAAAUAUUAGCGUCAGUAGGUAUUAAUCGUAGGAUUAUGUUCAAGGCGUGGUGGUAAAUGUUAGAUUGGUGAUUAGAAUGGCUGGUUUUCAUGUAAUAUUAGCUUUUAUGACAAUUGUAUUGUUUAAUUGAAACUAUUGUUCUGUUGCUUUUAAACAGAAUAGCAACAGAACAGUUUGACUGAAGCAAAAAAAAAAAAUCUAGAACAAAGACAAAUAUUGGAUAAAAUGUACUUCUAAGUAAUCUUACAUUCCGUCAACUAAAUACAUAAAUAUUGCAUUUCACUUGUAA
rnacentral:lncRNA from 1 species